rnacentral:rRNA from 1 species
AUUGAACGCUGGCGGCAUGCCUUACACAUGCAAGUCGAACGGUAACGCGGGGCAACCUGGCGACGAGUGGCGAACGGGUGAGUAAUAUAUCGGAACGUGCCCAAUAGUGGGGGAUAGCCCGGCGAAAGCCGGAUUAAUACCGCAUGAGACCUGAGGGUGAAAGCGGGGGAUCGCAAGACCUCGCGCUAUUGGAGCGGCCGAUAUCAGAUUAGGUAGUUGGUAGGGGUAAAAGCCUACCAAGCCGACGAUCUGUAGCUGGUCUGAGAGGACGACCAGCCACACUGGGACUGAGACACGGCCCAGACUCCUACGGGAGGCAGCAGUGGGGAAUUUUGGACAAUGGGCGCAAGCCUGAUCCAGCCAUGCCGCGUGCGGGAAGAAGGCCUUCGGGUUGUAAACCGUCUUUUGUCAGGGAAGAAAUCCUUUGAGUUAAUACCUCGGGGGGAUGACGGUACCUGAAGAAUAAGCACCGGCUAACUACGUG